rnacentral:tRNA from 1 species
GGGCCGUCGUCGACUGCGGAUCCGGUCCGGAUCCGGCUCGGGCCCGGAUCCGUGGUCGGCUCAGGCGCCGGCGACGGCCUG